GGCUGGAGCUCAGUGGUAGAGCACUUGCCUAGCAGGUAAGACACUGGGUUCCAUCCCCAGCACAACCA
rnacentral:tRNA from 1 species